AUGGGGCCUCCUCCGAAGAAGCUGGUCUACAGCUUCGUGGGGCGCGGCACCACGGUGCUGGCCGACCACGCCGAGGCCUCCGGCAACUUCGCCUCCGUCGCCGCGCAGUGCCUCCAGAAGCUCCCGCCCAACAACAACCGGCUCAGCUACAACUGCGACGGCCACACCUUCAACUACCACAUCCACGAUGGAUUCACAUAUUGUGUUGUUGCUACCGAGUCUGCUGGUCGGCAACUUCCAAUCGGCUUCAUUGAGAGGGUUAAGGAGGAUUUCGCCAAGAAAUACAGCGGAGGAAAAGCCAAAACCGCUGGUCCCAAUAGCCUCAAACGAGAAUUUGGGCCUAAGCUUAAAGAACACAUGAAGUACUGUGACCUGCACCCUGAGGAAAUUGACAAGCUUGCAAAGGUGAAGGCUCAGGUUUCAGAGGUGAAAGGAGUAAUGAUGCAAAACAUCGAAAAGGUACUAGAUCGUGGUGAGAAAAUCGAACUGCUUGUCGAUAAGACCGAGGAUCUCCGCUCACAGGCACAAGAUUUCAAGAAGCAAGGAACAAAGAUACGGCAGAAGAUGUGGUGGGAGAACAUGAAGAUAAAGCUCAUCGCUUUUGGCAUCAUUGUCUUGCUGAUCCUCUGCAUCAUCUUGACAGUUUGCCGCGACUUCAAAUGCUGGUGA
rnacentral:rRNA from 1 species